GGCUGGAUCACCUCCUUUCUAUGGAGCACAUGCCGCAUGCUUCGGCGUUGCGGCGUAUGCAUGGUUCGAUUCGCGCCUCCUUCCCUGUUCAGUUUUGAACGAUCCGCUCCCAUGGGCCUAUAGCUCAGGUGGUUAGAGCGCACGCCUGAUAAGCGUGAGGUCGGUAGUUCAAGUCUACCUAGGCCCACCAGCCUUCGCCCGGAUGGUUGGGCCAAGGGCUUCGGCUUGGCAAGCCAGCAUCGGGCUGACCGGGGGAUGGGCUCCGGGGGUGUAGCUCAGUUGGGAGAGCGCCUGGUUUGCAACCAGGAGGCCAUCGGUUCGAUCCCGUUCACCUCCACCACCUUUCGCCCUUCGGGCGAAAGGUGCCCCGCCGUAGCUCCGAAGCGACGGGGCUGAUGCGGCCGCAAGGAGCGGAGGCGGGAAUAAGAAAGCGGUUUCCUUCAGGCUUCGGCUUGGCAAGCCACGACGCCCGAAGGGCGAACGCUGGAUAAAGUUUUUUUGAUUUGGGCGCGUAGUAUUGCGCUCCCGCUCUUUGACAACCGAUUCCGAAUGCGCUGUCCGAAAUUCUUUCAUGCGUUGAGUAGUGGUCAAGCGAACAAGGGCGCACGGUGGAUGCCCUGGCGUCAGGAGGCGAUGAAGGACGUGGCAGGCUGCGAUAAGCUCCGGUGAGCCGCCUAACAGGCUUUGACCCGGAGAUUUCCGAAUGGGGAAACCCCCCGCGGCAAACCCGCGGGAUCCGUCACUGAAUACAUAGGUGCCGGAAGCCAACGAGGGGAACUGAAACAUCUAAGUACCCUCAGGAAGAGAAAGCAACCGCGAUUCCCCCAGUAGUGGCGAGCGAACGGGGAUCAGCCUAAACCCGGCUUAUGCCAAGCCCGCAAGCGUUGUAGGCCGGGGGUUGCGGGUUCUGUUCGGGCGGAUUUGCGGAUCCGCCGGGAAGUCAAAAACCGGUACCGUAGUCGAAGCGGCUGGAAAGCCGAUCCAUAGAGGGUGAUAGGCCCGUAGGCGAAACGGCACCGGCUUCCUGGAACAGACACCCAAGUACCGCGGGGCACGAGAAACCCCGCGGGAAUCCGGGAGGACCAUCUUCCAAGGCUAAAUACUACCUGACGACCGAUAGUGCACUAGUACCGUGAGGGAAAGGUGAAAAGAACCCCAGCGAGGGGAGUGAAAUAGAACCUGAAACCGUGUGCCUACAAACAGUGGUAGCCCUAUGCCGGCGGCUUGCCGUCGGCAGGGUGACCGCGUGCCUUUUGCAUAAUGAGUCAGCGAGUUACCUUACGUGGCAAGGUUAAGCCGGAAGGCGGAGCCGUAGCGAAAGCGAGUCCGAAACGGGCGACAUAGUCACGUGGGGUAGACCCGAAACCAGGUGAUCUACCCAUGGCCAGGAUGAAGCAGGUGUAAAAACCUGUGGAGGUCCGAACCGGUGUUGGUUGAAAACAGCUCGGAUGAGCUGUGGGUAGGGGUGAAAGGCUAAUCAAACCUGGAAAUAGCUGGUUCUCCCCGAAAUAUAUUUAGGUAUAGCCUCGGGGCAUUCAGUGACGGGGGUAGAGCACUGGAUGGGCUAGGGGACCUACCAGUCUACCAAACCCAACCAAACUCCGAAUACCGUCAACUGCUAUCCCGGGAGUCAGUCUACGGGCGAUAAGGUCCGUGGUCGAGAGGGAAACAACCCAGAUCGCCAGCUAAGGCCCCAAAAUAUGUGCUAAGUGGAAAAGGAUGUGGAAACGCUAAGACAGCCAGGAGGUUGGCUUAGAAGCAGCCACCCUUUAAAGAAAGCGUAACAGCUCACUGGUCGAGUGGGUCCGCGCCGAAAAUUCAUCGGGGCUCAAGCACAUUGCCGAAGCUGCGGGUGGCCUCCGCAAGGGGGUCGCGGUAGGGGAGCGUUCCAUUGUAGGUCGAAGCCGGACCGUAAGGACCGGUGGACGAACUGGAAGUGCUUAUGCUGACACAAGUAGCGAUAAAGCGGGUGAAAAACCCGCUCGCCGUAAGCCUAAGGGUUCCUGGGGAAGGUUAAUCCGCCCAGGGUUAGUCGGGUCCUAAGGUGAGGCCGAAGGGCGUAACCGAUGGAAAACAGGUUAAUAUUCCUGUACCACCAUUUCCGCGCUAUUACCGAAGGGGGGACGCAGAAGGGUAGGUGAGCCAGCUGACGGACGUGCUGGUCCAAGCCGGUAGGGGGGCUUCCCAGGCAAAUCCGGGAGGCCGUUAACUCCGAGAGGUGAUGGGGAGGGGCUUUGCCCCGCAAACUCACUGAUCCCACGCUGCCGAGAAAAGCCUCGUAGGGAGUUGGAAUGGUGUCCGUACCGUAAACCGACACAGGUGGGCAAGGAGAAUAUCCUAAGGCGCUCGAGUGAUCCCUCGUUAAGGAACUCGGCCAAUUACCCCCGUAACUUCGGGAUAAGGGGGGCCCUUUGGGGUGAGGAGACUUGCUCUCCGAGCUUCAGGGGGCCGCAGAGAAAUGGCCGCGGCGACUGUUUACUAAAAACACAGGACUCUGCUAAGUCGUGAAGACGACGUAUAGGGUCUGACGCCUGCCCGGUGCCGGAAGGUUAAGGGGCGAUGUCAGGGGGGCAACCCCCGAAGCUUCAAACCGAAGCCCCGGUAAACGGCGGCCGUAACUAUAACGGUCCUAAGGUAGCGAAAUUCCUUGUCGGGUAAGUUCCGACCUGCACGAAUGGCGUAACGAUCGCGGCACUGUCUCAACGAGGGGCUCGGCGAAUCUGAAAUACCGGUGAAGAUGCCGGUUACCCGCACCUAGACGGAAAGACCCCGUGCACCUUCACUGCAACUUGGCAUUGGAUUUUGGAAUAGCUUGUGUAGCAUAGGUGGGAGGCUUUGAAACCGGGGCGCUAGCUCCGGUGGAGCCAACAGUGAAAUACCACCCUGGUUGUUCCGGAAUUCUAACCUGGGCCCGUAAUCCGGGCCGGGGACAAUGCCUGGUGGGCAGUUUGACUGGGGCGGUCGCCUCCUAAAGAGUAACGGAGGCGCG
rnacentral:misc_RNA from 1 species